AAGUCGUAACAAGGUUUCCGUAGGUGAACCUGCGGAAGGAUCAUUACGCAUAGGGACUGGCAGCCGAGUCCCCACCUAGCGAAAAUUAGGUGGGGUAAGGUGCGCCAGCAACCCCCCGAGCAUAUCGCCGGGCCACCCUGCCUUUUGAGCACCAUUUCGUUUCCUCGGCGGGCUUGCCCGCCACUGGGGACCCUCAAAAACCUUUUUGUAAUGAGAAGUAACAGUAUUAUAAAAAAAUUAAUCACAACUUUCAACAAUGGAUCUCUUGGCUCUG
rnacentral:misc_RNA from 1 species